AUAAAAGCAGGGUCCUGUUGCCUUGUAUGUGAAUUGGUCUCUCGUAAACGUCAGGGAAAUGAAAUAAAUUGCAACAUUAUUGGGUGAACCUCUGUUUGUUCUUUGUGAAUGGUGGCUCAAGGUUCAGUAAAUGAUGCAACAUUU